rnacentral:rRNA from 1 species
CAUCGCCGCGGGAAUACAGAGGGUGCGAGCGUUAAUCGGAUUUACUGGGCGUAAAGCGUGCGUAGGCGGCUUCUUAAGUCGGAUGUGAAAUCCCUGAGCUUAACUUAGGAAUUGCAUUCGAUACUGGGAAGCUAGAGUAUGGGAGAGGAUGGUAGAAUUCCAGGUGUAGCGGUGAAAUGCGUAGAGAUCUGGAGGAAUACCGAUGGCGAAGGCAGCCAUCUGGCCUAAUACUGACGCUGAGGUACGAAAGCAUGGGGAGCAAACAGGAUUAGAUACCCCUGUAGUCCCUGUCUCUUAUACA